GCCGGCGACGCCGGGCCCCCUCCCUCCUCUUGGUGCCCUCACUGUUGCUGCCAUGAGCCUCUCCACCCUCUCCCGCGCGAUGGUCCGGGUCCAGAUUGCUGCACCUUCUGGUUGUGAGUGGAUCCAAGAGUUAACAUGGUACAAUAUUCAGUCUCAUGUGUUACUCAAGUACUAAAAUGGAAGCAGAGAGAAACAAGCCCAGUGAGAGAGUGGAUAACGGCAGAAACACUUCAACCAAAUCCAGAGAUAUAGAAAAUGAUUGGAGCUGAUGCCGAUCCUAUCGAGAUCCGAGUGCCGAGAACGAGAGCCUCCUCCAUCUUCCCCUCCUCACCAAGGAGAACUGCUACUUCCCUGUUCGAGGAGCUCUCUAUAUCAGCCACUGACCUCCUCAUCUUCAUGGUGCUCACCUCAGCCUGCAAUUUCAGCUGACAGAUAGGUGCAGGAAGAAGAAACAAAUGCAAGAA